rnacentral:rRNA from 1 species
UACGUAGGGAGCACGCGCUAAUCGGAAUUACUGGGCGUAAAGCGUGCGCAGGCGGUUCCAUAAGACAGAUGUGAAACCCCCGGGCUCAACCUGGGAACUGCAUUUGUGACUGUGGGGCUAGAGUACGGUAGAGGGGGAUGGAAUUCCGCGUGUAGCAGUGAAAUUCGUAGAUAUGCGGAGGAACACCAAUGGCGAAGGCAAUCCCCUGGACCUGUACUGACGCUCAUGCACGAGAGCGUGGGGAGCAAACAGG